GAUGAACGCUGGCGGCGUGCCUAAUACAUGCAAGUCGAACGCUGGAGAUCUAGCUUGCUAGCUCGAAGGAGUGGCGAACGGGUGAGUAAUACAUAAGCAACCUACCCACGAAGACUGGGAUAAUCUCUGGAAACGGGGACUAAUACCGGAUAGGUAAUCGGAAGGCAUCUUCUGGUUAUUAAAGGUUAAAAACACUGGUGGAUGGGCUUAUGGCGCAUUAGUUAGUUGGUGAGGUAACGGCCCACCAAGACGAUGAUGCGUAGCCGGCCUGAGAGGGUGAACGGCCACAGUGGGACUGAGACACGGCCCAGACUCCUACGGGAGGCAGCAGUAGGGAAUUUUCGGCAAUGGGGGCAACCCUGACCGAGCAACGCCGCGUGAGUGAAGACGGCCUUCGGGUUGUAAAGCUCUGUUGUAAGGGAAGAACGGUAGAUAGAGAAUAUCUAAGUGACGGUACCUGACCAGAAAGCCACGGCUAACUACGUG
rnacentral:rRNA from 1 species